rnacentral:rRNA from 1 species
AUUGAACGCUGGCGGCAUGCCUUACACAUGCAAGUCGAACGGUAACAGGUCUUCGGAUGCUGACGAGUGGCGAACGGGUGAGUAAUACAUCGGAACGUGCCCGAUCGUGGGGGAUAACGAGGCGAAAGCUUUGCUAAUACCGCAUACGAUCUACGGAUGAAAGCGGGGGAUCUUCGGACCUCGCGCGGACGGAGCGGCCGAUGGCAGAUGAGGUCGUUGGUGGGAUAAAAGCUUACCAAGCCGACGAUCUGUAGCUGGUCUGAGAGGAUGAUCAGCCACACUGGGACUGAGACACGGCCCAGACUCCUACGGGAGGCAGCAGUGGGGAAUUUUGGACAAUGGGCGAAAGCCUGAUCCAGCCAUGCCGCGUGCAGGAUGAAGGCCUUUGGGUUGUAAACUGCUUUUGUACGGAACGAAAAGCCUCUUUCUAAUAAAGAGGGGUCAUGACGGUACCGUAAGAAUAAGCACCGGCUAACUACGUG